rnacentral:rRNA from 1 species
GACGAACGCUGGCGGCGUGCUUAACACAUGCAAGUCGAACGGAAAGGCCCUGCUUUUGUGGGGUGCUCGAGUGGCGAACGGGUGAGUAACACGUGAGUAACCUGCCCUUGACUUUGGGAUAACUUCAGGAAACUGGGGCUAAUACCGGAUAGGAGCUCCUGCUGCAUGGUGGGGGUUGGAAAGUUUCGGCGGUUGGGGAUGGACUCGCGGCUUAUCAGCUUGUUGGUGGGGUAGUGGCUUACCAAGGCUUUGACGGGUAGCCGGCCUGAGAGGGUGACCGGCCACAUUGGGACUGAGAUACGGCCCAGACUCCUACGGGAGGCAGCAGUGGGGAAUAUUGCACAAUGGGCGGAAGCCUGAUGCAGCAACGCCGCGUGCGGGAUGACGGCCUUCGGGUUGUAAACCGCUUUCGCCUGUGACGAAGCGUGAGUGACGGUAAUGGGUAAAGAAGCACCGGCUAACUACGUGCCAGCAGCCGCGGUGAUACGUAGGGUGCGAGCGUUGUCCGGAUUUAUUGGGCGUAAAGGGCUCGUAGGUGGUUGAUCGCGUCGGAAGUGUAAUCUUGGGGCUUAACCCUGAGCGUGCUUUCGAUACGGGUUGACUUGAGGAAGGUAGGGGAGAAUGGAAUUCCUGGUGGAGCGGUGGAAUGCGCAGAUAUCAGGAGGAACACCAGUGGCGAAGGCGGUUCUCUGGGCCUUUCCUGACGCUGAGGAGCGAAAGCGUGGGGAGCGAACAGGCUUAGAUACCCUGGUAGUCCACGCUGUAAACGGUGGGUACUAGGUGUGGGGUCCAUUCCACGGGUUCCGUGCCGUAGCUAACGCUUUAAGUACCCCGCCUGGGGAGUACGGCCGCAAGGCUAAAACUCAAAGGAAUUGACGGGGCCCCGCACAAGCGGCGGAGCAUGCGGAUUAAUUCGAUGCAACGCGUAGAACCUUACCUGGGUUUGACAUGGAUCGGGAGUGCUCAGAGAUGGGUGUGCCUCUUUUGGGGUCGGUUCACAGGUGGUGCAUGGCUGUCGUCAGCUCGUGUCGUGAGAUGUUGGGUUAAGUCCCGCAACGAGCGCAACCCUUGUUCACUGUUGCCAGCACGUUAUGGUGGGGACUCAGUGGAGACCGCCGGGGUCAACUCGGAGGAGGGUGGGGAUGACGUCAAGUCAUCAUGCCCCUUAUGUCCAGGGCUUCACGCAUGCUACAAUGGCUGGUACAGAGAGUGGCGAGCCUGUGAGGGUGAACGAAUCUCGGAAAGCCGGUCUCAGUUCGGAUUGGGGUCUACAACUCGACCUCAUGAAGUCGGAGUCGCUAGUAAUCGCAGAUCAGCAACGCUGCGAUGAAUACGUUCCCGGG